GGACACCCUACACAGAUCUCAAACCAAAUAUAUGCAAAGCUUUGCUUCAACGAGUCAACUAUUUGCAAGCCUUCGGGGCUAAAACUGUUCUGGGAAGCCUAGUUCUAGGAUGCAAUGAGUCAACUAUAUAUAUGUACACAUCAUUAAAAUAAAUUGCAUCCAAAAAAAUAAAGUAAUUCCCCAUCUCUUGCUUUAACAAUUUAACAAUAACAACAAAAUACAAAGCUAAUGUUCUGAGAAAAUCGCCAUCCAAAAAUCAAUGUUUCAACAUCAUUUAUAUGAGCCUUCUAAAUUACAUUACAAAUGUUAUUAAGGUCUGAAUCGAUGUUAUAACUUAUAACCAUGCCAUAUCUGUGCUUCUCACAUAAUCAAGGCAUUUUAUAUCCAGCAUGGAUAAAUUAACAAUAAUCAGUUUCAAUAUAUAAGAACUAAAUUAAAAAUGAAAGUAAAACUCAUUAAUAAACAUUUAUGUUAACAAAAGGAAAGAAAAAAAAUAUGUAAACUAAAACUUAUUUAUGAACAUGGUAGUAGAUGUAAAAUUAACCAUGAAUGACUCUAUAGUAUUAGUAGGUGAUAGACUAAGAAGAUGAAGCCAGCAUCCUCUUCAUUAUACCACUUACCAUUCAGACACCCUGACUUAGAUUGGUGGAUAUAACUACAAAGCUUAAUCACUUUUCAGCAUAACACUGCUCCACCACUCCCUUAAAGAGUUUUGUUUUUUUUGGAGAUAUUCCACUCCCUUAAGAGUUAAGUAGGUGCUUUAUUGACCAAAGACCAACAAGUCCACCACACUCUUCAGUCUUCAAUUCAUUACCACUUGACAUUCAGACACCCUAGCAAUCCAGCAGCAUAUUGAAGCAAAGCAAACAUGUCCAAUGUUCACAUUCUGGUAUUCCCAUACCCAGCACAAGGGCACAUGCUCCCACUCCUCGACCUCACCCACCACUUAACACUUAAAGGCUUAACCAUCACCAUCAUCAUCACCCCAAAAAACCUUAACCUCCUCAACCCUCUCUUAUCCACACACCCAAACACCAUUCAAACUCUCAUCCUCCCAUUCCCCACCCACCCAAACAUCUCCCCGGGUGCAGAAAACAUCCGUGAGGUUGGCAACACUGGAAACAUACCCUUCAUGAACGCCCUCUCCAAACUCCAAAACCCCAUAAUCCAAUGGUUGGCCUCCCACCCUGACCCCCCUGUGGCUCUCAUCUCCGAUUUCUUCCUCGGCUGGACCCACCGAAUCGGCAUCCCCAGGCUCGCGUUUUACUCCUCCGGCGCCUUCUUAACCGCCAUCAGCAACCGCUGCUGGCGGAAUCCACGGUGGUUUCAGUCGCAGGCGGUGGUUGAGUUUGCCGGAAUCCCCGGAACGCCGUCGUUUAGGGGGGAGCAUCUUCCCUCCUUGAUCCUCCGCUACAGGGAAUCGGACCCGGAAUCGGAGUUCGUGAGGGAGUUGUUCGCCGCAAACGCCGCCAGCUGGGGCACCGUCUUCAACACCUUUGGCGCGUUGGAGGGUCCGUAUUUGGAUCAUAUUCGGGCCGAAUUGGGCCACCCGAGAGUUUUCGCUGUUGGCCCGUUGGGCUCAAAUCGGGUCGAACCCGACCCGGAUGGAGGAUCCGACGUGAUUCGGUGGCUGGAUGGGUGGGAGGAAGAGGGUUCGGUGUUGUAUGUGUGCUUUGGGAGUCAGAAGCUGCUGAGGAAGGAGCAGAUGGAGGCGUUGGCGUUCGGGUUGGAGAGAUCCGGAACCCGAUUCGUUUGGGUGGUGAAGGCGCCGUCUACGGCGGAGCUGGUUGAAGAAGGGUACGGGUUGCUUCCUGACGGGUUUGAGGAUCGGGUUUCGGGUCGGGGCCUUGUGGUGAGGGGUUGGGCUCCGCAAGUGGCGAUAUUGGGUCACCGGGUCGUGGGCGGGUUUUUGAGUCACUGCGGGUGGAACUCGGUGCUGGAAGCGGUGGUUGCCGGUGUUGCGAUUCUGGGAUGGCCCAUGGAGGCUGAUCAGUUCGUUAACGCGAGGCUGUUGGUGGAGGACGUGCAGAUGGCAGUGAGGGUGUGCGAGGGGGCGAAUUCUGUGCCCGACCCUGAUGAGUUGGGUCGGGCCAUAUCAGGGUCUAUGAGCGGGGAUAGUCCUCAAAAAAGAAGAGCCAAGUUGAUGAGAGAGGAAGCUGUUAGAGCUGUAAGUGAUAAUGGGGAUUCCUCCAAAGAGUUGGAUGAGCUUGUGGAAGCAUUAAAGCAGCUUGGUGUUAAAGAAGGAUGAUCGGUGAUAAUUGAUUCGAGGAUAGUUGAUUGGAUUGCUUGAUUUUAAAGGAAGAUGGAAAAAAACUACAAGAGGUAUUUGUUACUUUCCGUGAGGACCAAGGUUCUCGGAGGAAUUUGUUAUCUUUUGUGGGGACCAAGGUGCUUGGAAUAUUUGUUAUCCUCCGUGGGGACUUAUGCUCUCGGAAAAUGUUGUCAGGACUAUCUGAGGGAGGACUCAAGCUCCUGGAAGUCGUAUGUUAGUUAUGAUUAUAUAAUGUUUUCUAUACCGUGUAUCUGACCUUUCAUGCAGGAAGUGAACUCAUGGGUGAAGACUACUCUAUAAACCCUGAGUUUACUGAGAUGUGUUAACUCAUCCCUUCUGGGGACAUAUAUUUCAGGUACUCAGGCUAAGGAUGAUGGUAGCUCACGUGACAAGAAGCUCGUGUAGAGUUAGAGAUUUUCAUGCUUUAGGAAUGGCACAUUACAUCUAUAUGAUGUAUUGGAUAUUUGCAUAUAAUGCAUAUGUUGUACUUUGAUGAUAGAUUAUAUGUUUAGACACUUUUGUACAGCCUUAUAUGCUUAUGGAAGCACUUAUGUAAUUUGGGUUUAAGGCUUGUAUACAUAUGUGGCAAAUGUUGCCUAUGUUUAUUUUGAUUACAUGUUAAUGUUUAAGUAUUGUAUGUAUUUAUGCAAGUAUUGGC